rnacentral:tRNA from 1 species
UUCCCUGUGGCUCAGUUGGUAGAGCAUGGUGUUUGCAACGCCAGGGUUGUGGGUUUGAUUCCCACGGGGGACC